rnacentral:snRNA from 1 species
AGCUUUGCGCAGUGGCAGUAUCGUAGCCAAUGAGGUUUAUCUGAGGCGCGAUUAUUGCUAAUUGAAAGAAAAAAAGAAAA